ensembl:lncRNA
GGAGGUCUGAUGCUUUUCUGUUUCCUGGAAGCGGGAUGCCUCACCUUCACCCACUGGGAAGGUAAAACGGCAACUAUAGGGCCACCAGUGAGGUAGUGUGUCUUGUGACCAAAACAGCGCCUGUACAGCUGAGCCCUGCAUUGCUUCCAGGUCCUUUGACUUUGGCAUGACGAGUGAUUCUGAAGACUUGCCAGUGAAAGAAGAGCUUGCAUCUGCUUGAUGUCUUUGGAUCAAGUAAUCUGCCAGCCAAAGCAGUCUCUUCUUGCCUGCUUCCAAGAGGCAUGAGCUUAAACAACUGGUCUCAGAGU